rnacentral:rRNA from 1 species
AGCGAACGCUGGCGGCAGGCCUAACACAUGCAAGUCGAACGAACCUUCGGGUUAGUGGCGGACGGGUGAGUAACACGUGGGAACGUGCCCUUUGGUACGGAAUAACUCAGGGAAACUUGAGCUAAUACCGUAUGUGCCCUUCGGGGGAAAGAUUUAUCGCCAUUGGAGCGGCCCGCGUUGGAUUAGGUAGUUGGUGAGGUAAAGGCUCACCAAGCCUACGAUCCAUAGCUGGUCCGAGAGGAUGAUCAGCCACACUGGGACUGAGACACGGCCCAGACUCCUACGGGAGGCAGCAGUGGGGGAUCUUGCGCAAUGGGCGAAAGCCUGACGCAGCCAUGCCGCGUGAAUGAUGAAGGUCUUAGGAUUGUAAAAUUCUUUUACCAGGGACGAUAAUGACGGUACCUGGAGAAAAAGCCCCGGCUAACUUCGUGCCAGCAGCCGCAGUAAGAC